rnacentral:lncRNA from 1 species
UCACAGUGUGGCAUGGAAUCUGCUCUAUGGCAAAGUAGAUGACUCUGCCAGCGCUUGUGAAAACUACACAGAGGAUUGUAAGCAGCAGCCUCCACACCACCAAAUAAACCUAUAUCAGUAGAUGUCUGAAAUGUUCCCCGUUUAACACUGAAACACAGAAGGUUAUAGGACAAGGGCUUUAUUGUAUCUUUAUCAUCAGCAGGGGCUACAGAAAUUUCCUAAAUUUCCUAAAUUCUAAAGACCUACACCCAAAUUUUGUAAACAAUAAAGUUCUAUACAACUAUUUAGCCAAAAAGUGCAGCCAAUGCAUCUGGUGUUUUUGUACAUGCGUUUAAAACUAAAAUUAGACAACAAUCAGGUGUCACAAUAAGAUGCCACACAAAUUAUUUGUGCAAGUUCAAAAAAUACUUUCGCAACCACAAGAGGAAAAUACCACAGUGUUAACUGUAGCUAGGAUCAAAGUGUUAAUGCUAGCUUAUUUUAAUAAACAAUACUGUCAAAUGCAACACUUGGGUGCCACUAGCGGUGGAAAGAGAUUAUUUUAGGGUGGCACAUGACACGCCAUUGCACCUUUGUAGAUCCAAUCACUAGUAUUAUAGAUCAGAUUAGAGAGAGAGAAAUGCAGAAAAUAAAAAGCACAAAGCAAAAUAAAUCAAUAAAUAGGAAAUAGAAAUUGUGCUUCUUUCUUUUAUUUCCUAAGCAAGUUUUGUUAUAACUAUAACGAUUCAUUUGUAUCACCCAUGGUUGUAGUUGUAGUUGGUGCGGUGGUUGUAGUUUUAAUCGUUGGAGAUGUAGUAGGGGCAGUGGUUGUAGUUGUAGCUGUUGUAGUUGUAGUUGGGGCAGUGGUUGUAGUUGUAGCUGUUGUAGUUGUACUUGUAGUGGUUGUAGAUGUAGUUGUAGUAGGGGCAGUGGUUGUAGUUUUAGCUGUUGUAGUUGUAGUUGGGACGGUGGUUGUAGUUGGGGCAGCGGUUGUAGUUGUAGUGGGGGAAGUGGUUGUAGUUGUAGAUGGAGCAGCGUUUGUAGUUGUAGUAGGUGCAGUGGUUGUAGUUGCGGCGGUGGUUGUAGUUCGGGCGGUGGUUGUAGUUGUAGUUGUAGCAGUGGUUGUGGUUGUAGUUGGAGCAGUGGUUGUAAUUGUAGUUGGGGCGGUGGAUGUACUUGGGGCGGUAGUUGUAGUUGUAGUUGGAACAGUGGUUGUAGUUGGAGCUGUGGUUGUAGUUGUAGUUGGGGUGGUGGUUGUAGUUGGGGCAGUGGUUGUAGUUGUAGUGGGGGCAGUGGUUGUUGUUGUAGUUGGGGUGGUGGAUGUAGUUGGGGCAGCGGUUGUAGAUGUAGUGGAGGCAGUGGUUGUGGUUGUAGUUGCGGCGGUAGUUGUAGUUGGGCGGCGGUUGUAGUUAUAGAUGGAGCAGUGGUUGUAGUUGUAGUAGGGGUGGUGCUUGUAGUUGGGGCAGUGGUUGUGGUUGUAGUUGCGGCGGUGGUUGUAGUUGGGGUGGUGGUUGUAGUUGUAAUUGGGGUGGUGGUUGUAGUUGUAGUUGGAGCAGUGGUUGUAAUUGUAGUUGGGGCGGUGGAUGUACUUGGGGCGGUAGUUGUAAUUGUAGUUGGAACAGUGGUUGUAGUUGGAGCUGUGGUUGUGGUUGUAGUUGUAGUUGCGGUGGUGGUUGUAGUUGGGGCAGUGGUUGUAGUUGUAGUGGGGGAGUGGUUGUUGUUGUAGUUGGGGUGGUGGAUGUAGUUGGGGCAGCGGUUGUAGUUGUAGUGGGGGCAGUGGUUGUGGUUGUAGUUGCGGCGGUAGUUGUAGUUGGGGCGGUGGUUGUAGUUAUAGAUGGAGCAGUGGUUGUAGUUGUAGUAGGGGUGGUGGUUGUAGUUGGGGCAGUGGUUGUGGUUGUAGUUGUGGCGGUGGUUGUAGUUGGGCGGUGGUUGUAGUUGUAAUUGGGGUGGUGGUUGUAGUUGUAGUUGGAGCAGUGGUUGUAACUGUAGUUGGGGCGGUGGAUGUACUUGGGGCGGUAGUUGUAAUUGUAGUUGGAACAGUGGUUGUAGUUGUAGUUGGGGCAGUGGUUGUAGUUGAAGUAGGGNNNNNNNNNNNNNNNNNNNNNNNNNNNNNNNNNNNNNNNNNNNNNNNNNNNNNNNNNNNNNNNNNNNNNNNNNNNNNNNNNNNNNNNNNNNNNNNNNNNNGUUGUAGUGGGGGCAGUGGUUGUUUUGGUUGGUGUGGGCAGUGGUUGUGGUUGUAGUUGCGGCGGUGGUUGUAGUUGGGGCAGCCGUUGUAGUUGUAGUGGGGGCAGUUGUUGUUGUUGUAGUUGGGGUGGUGGUUGUAAAUGGGGCAGUGGUUGUAGUUGUAGUGGGGGCAGUGGUUGUGGUUGCGGCUGUGGUUGUAGUUGUAGUUGGAGCAGUGGUUGUAGUUGUAGAUGGGGCAGUGGUUGUGGUUGUAGUGGGGGCAGUGGUUGUGGUUGUAGUUGCAGCGUCAGUUGUAGUUGGGGCGGUGGUGGUAGUUGUAGUUGGAGCAGUGGUUGUAGUUGUAGAUGGGGCAGUGGUUGUGGUUGUAGUGGGGGCAGUGGUUGUGGUUGUAGUUGCGGCGGUGGUUGUAGUUUCGGCGGUGGUUGUAGUUGUAGUUGGAGCAGUGGUUGUAGUUGUAGUUAGGGUGGUGGUUGUAGUUGGGGCAGCGGUUGUAGUUGUACUGGGGGCAGUGGUUGUGGUUGUAGUUUCGGCGGUGGUUGUAGUUGGGGCAGUGGUUGUAGUUGUAGUUGGGCUGGUGGUUGUAGUUGGGGCAGUGAUUGUAGUUGUAGUUGGGGCAGUGGUUGUGGUUGUAGUUGGGGCGGUGGUUGUAGUUGUAAUUGGGGCAGCGGUUGUAGUUGUAGUGGGGGCAGUGGUCGUGGUUGUACUUGCGGCGGUCGUUGUCGUUGGAGUGGUGGUUGUAGUUGUAGUGGGGGCAGCCGUUGUAGUUGUAGUGAGGGCAGUUGUUGUAGUUGUAGUUGGAGCAGUGGUUGUAGUUGUAGUGGGGGUGGUGGUUGUAGUUGUAGUUUGGGCAGUGGUUGUAGUUGGGGCAGCAGUUGUAGUUGUAGUUAGGGCGGUGGUUGUAGUUGGGGCAGCGGUUGUAGUUGGGGCAGCAGAACAGGUUGGUCCACUGGCUAUGGUACCAACGCUCUGCAUGAAAGGUAGAGAACCCAGGCUUGAAGCAGCUGCACACAGGUUUGAAGAUGCACAGCCGUAAGCUGGAAACGUUUUGGUUCCGUCGUUAACUGCAGAUGAAACAGAAAAAUUUCAGGAUAUGUUUUAAAUUGGCUACUUUCAGGGAAGCUCAAUAUAUUUCACACAAAGAACAACUAAACGGCUUUUUAAAAUGUUUGGUUUAUCUGACUUUAAAUCCCAUUACAGGGCUCUAGAGUGCGAGUGGUGCGACUAAAAAAAAAAAUUUGUUCGCACCGGUGCAACCAAAUAUUUUCGGGUAACAAAAAAAUUAAAAAAUCUCUGCAACUCUCCAUGUGGUCAACAACAGACACACGUUAUGCCCCUAUCGUGGACUAAACCAGUCAGAGAUAGUCAGGGGCUGGACCUCUCUGAUUGGCUGUGGUCCAGUUGAAAGUGCAGGUGGAAGAGAGAGGUGAGUAGCUUGAAUAAAGCGAUAUCAAUUCAUUAACGGAUUCCACACAAAGACGUAAACACAGCGCGGACCCGAUGCAUCAGAAUCAGCUUUGUCUUUCUCAGCUUUCUCACCCGAUGGCCCGAACACGGACACGCUGUCGGAGCUUACCGAUUCUGAUGCGUCGGGUCCGCGCUGUGUUUCCGUCUUUUUUGCGCUAGAUUCUGAGCUGCAGGUUUUGUCUCGCCAACCAAAAUUCGCCGAGCCAGCAGCAAAAGAAGCAGCAAACUACGCUUCACAUUUGAUCAAUGUCGUCAUGAAUUCCUUCUGACUUUUGCUGUUUUGCUUCCACCACGAUAAAAAUCACACUUCAUGCACAGCUCUCUCUCUCUCUCUGUACUUCAAGAACAGUUUCCCGUCUCAAAUCUCUGUUUUCUGCAUUAUUCAUUCGCUUAUUACCCACCAGUCUACCGUUGUUUACAGCGCUGUCGGCCGCUGUCUUUUUCUUUUCUUUUUCUUUUUUUCACUUAAAUGACCUCGGACAAGAAAGCCUAAUUUCUGCUGUUCAAUGCUGAAGAAAUUUAAACUUCUUAAAAUUAUGCAAAAUUGCAGAAUGUUGCAGAAUAUUUUUAAGGUUAUCUGCGAUAAAACGCCAGACCAGGAAAAUCUCCUUCAUGUUUUUCUGCGUUUUAUUCUCAGUUACUUUCACACAAAGGCAUCUGCUGUGAUGUUCACAAUUCUGAUGAAGUCUCACAUGUAUCAGUACUGAUAAAUGAUCAGAAUUAUAAUAUUUCUGACUGUCUGAGGCUAAAUUGAAUCGAAUCAGGACUUUGAGAACCAGAAUUGAAUGGAUUAUAGAAAUCAGUGAUGAUACCCAGCCCUAGUGAGCAGCCUAGGCCUGACAGAAGUGGAUGUAGCUGUGGGUAAUAAGAAAAGAUAUAAAGAACUAUUGACAACUUUUUUGUUAAGUUAAGGACUGAUCCGUCUGAAAUUCAUAGCCAGCUCUGACAUGGUGCCAACAAUCUUUGAAUGCUGAAAAAACAGCAGUGUAUCCAGAAAACACAUUAUAUGCUGCAAUAAAUGCACUGCCCAAGUGUCCCCUCUCCCCACUGCCUUUCAGCAGCAGGCAGCAGCAAACAGGUCGUCAGAGGAGCCAAGAUGAUGAUUAAGUUUAACAUUUUCUACAAUAUUGACAAAGCAAUUUAAGCACAAGUUUGUUAGUUAAUAAUUUAGAAAUGAAUAUUGUCUGUAUGGACUUCCCCCCAAAGAAAGUGCACAUGUAAAACUGCGGUGUUAAGCGAUGUGGUUGAAAAAUCUGAGUGCGCCUAACUUUUGUGCCGGUACGCCUAAAUUUUUAAAGUUAGGCGUACCGGUGCGCCCAUGUCAAAAAGUUAGUCUAGAGCCCUGCAUUACAGUAACUUUCACACUUGUCUGUAACAUUUCACAAAAGAAUUUGAACUCAUCUUUGAUAGAAAACCGAUGACACAACUGAUACAACAUAAAGACUCACUAGUUGAUUGGAAGCACAGGUUCUCCGCUCCCUGACACUGUAAAGUGGAGGUGCACUGACUGGUGGAAGGGUCACAAAAGUUGCAUACCCCACCAUUAUUUGACUGAGAAGCAGGAUCUGAAAUAGAAAAGAACAUGGUUUCAUUUCAGAACAGAGACCCUUGCAACAUCAGAAUAUUGUUUUUUAUUGCUUUAUAUUAUUCUUUUGUUUUCAAUGACCAACAUAGUAUUUAACUUACUUGGCAGAGUUGCUGAGUUGCAGUUAUCUGUGUCGCAGCAUUGAGCAGAAGCCAGAGCACUUUGAAAACCCAGGUUGACUGAAAAUGUCUGAGAGGUUACGGCUGGACACAGGGAGGAAGAUGCACAUGCCUUGUAGAUUUGUGUUGUCGUAGUUCCAGAUGAAGUAGCUACAAAUUCAAAGUGCAGUUUGUUAAUGUUGAUGAAACACAAAUAGCUUCACAGCAGUUGUAAUUUCGUGAAAAUAUGAAAUAUGAUAUGAGAAAACAUUACCUAGAAUGGUAGCUGUAACACACAUUGGUUCCGAUGAGGAGCAUGGAAGUAGUGCUGUGCUUGAACACGUCAAAUCUGUGCAGGUUUGACACUGAAGGGCUCCAGCUGCAAUCAGGAGAGAAACACAAAAAUGAUGAUCACAAUUUAAAUAUAUA